rnacentral:rRNA from 1 species
UACGGAGGGGGCUAGCGUUGUUCGGAAUUACUGGGCGUAAAGCGUACGUAGGCGGCUUUGCAAGUCAGAGGUGAAAGCCCGGGGCUCAACCCCGGAAUAGCCUUUGAGACUGCAUCGCUAGAAUUGUGGAGAGGUAAGUGGAAUUCCGAGUGUAGAGGUGAAAUUCGUAGAUAUUCGGAAGAACACCAGUGGCGAAGGCGACUUACUGGACACAUAUUGACGCUGAGGUGCGAAAGCGUGGGGAGCAAACAGG